AGAGACACUGGGAGAGAGAGAGACACACUGGGAGAGAGAGAGAGACACACUGGGAGAGAGAGAGACACACUGGGAGAGAGAGACACUGGGAGAGAGAGAGACACUGGGAGAGAGAGAGACACUGGGAGAGAGAGACACUGGAAGAGAGAGACACUGGAAGAGAGAGACACUGGAAGAGAGAGACACUGGAAGAGAGAGACACUGGGGGAGAGAGAGACACUGGGAGGGAGAGACACACUGGAAGAGAGAGACACAGGGAGAGAGAGACACGAGGGGAGAGGAGCGACAUGGGUACACAGGGAGAGACACGAGGAGAGAGAGACGAGGGGAGGGACAUGGGGAGAGACAUGGGUACACGCGGCCUGGAUACGAGGGGCCACGAAGACUCUGAACGCGCGGGCGCCGUGGUGAGUUGCCACGCUAUAAUAAACAAGUCGUUGGCGCUGCUGUGAGAUGGUGCAGCCCGGGACCUGGCGCCGCCUGCGCGUGCGGAGACCCCAGCAGGACGUGAACCCUCGGCCAUGUUUCUCCGUUCCUCAUCGGCGUCUGGGUAUGCCGAUUCCUUGUUCCCAGACGGCACGUGGUCCUCUUGUCAGGAGGCUGCUUGAAUGCACGUUGCUGUGAAAACUCUGCUUGGCCAUUGAGUUGGAGUUGCCACGCUAUAAUAAACAAGUCGUUGGCGCUGCUGCUGUGAAAUGGUGCAGGGCGGCACCUGGCGUUGCCUGCACGCGCGGAGACCCCCAGCAGGGUGUGAAACAUCGGUCACUUUCCUCCAUUCCCCAUCGGCAUCUGGGUACACGGAGCCCUUGUUCCCAGACGGUGUGCCUGCGGUUGGCUGCAUUUCACCCGGGCGUGGUUGCUGUGAUUGGAGGUGCUGUGUACAUCUGGCGGAACACAAUUGUUUCGUUUGUGCAACAAGAUGCUUCAAUUAUUUCUUGCUCAAAUGAGCAUUGGGGUAGUGCUGUUUACAGCUGAGCCAGUUAUGGAAAUUCCACAUUCAUAUGGCAGGGGUGAGUAUCUACAGGACAAUAAGUAGUACUUUUAUUAACCCUGGAAGGAUGAUUGCUAAGUCAACCCCCAACCAGGAUUUGAACCUGCAAACUUGAGCUGAUGGCUGUUGCUUAGCCACCUGGCUGGAUGUUUACAUUAACACUCGGGAAUUGACUAAACAUUCCUCUGUAGGAGAUUUCUAUCUGCAAAUGCUAAGUAGGUGCUUAUUUCUAUUUUUCUCAAAUGGUAUAUAUAUUUUAACAUGUAAAGCAGCUGUGAUUGUAUUCUACUUGCUGUGAACUUGACAUGGAAUUCAAUGUUGUGGUAAUAUUUAAAUAAAUAUUUCCCUUGA